rnacentral:lncRNA from 1 species
AGGUGAGCAAUAUAAAUCCACGAACUAUAACGCGCUCGAUCUCGGCGAACGGGAGAUUCCAUUAUAACACGCCGACUAAUAAACGUUAUAAGAGAGCACGAUUCCAUCUCAUUGAUCUAACCAAAAUGGUAUAGGAAUAAAAAUAAAAAAAGUAAAAAGACUUGCCGUGGUACUUUUUAGUCCCUACGACGAUAAAUUGUGGUAGUAAUAAUUUCAUACUUUUACGAGUACGAUGGUGAAAUUAAGAACGAAAAGAGAAAUAACAGUUCGUUUAUAGAUCGUUUCUGUUCUCAUAAAAUGAUAAGGAGAGGUGAAUUCGGAUCCAAUGGAUUAUUUUUUGAUCGUUCUAUAAACUCGACAAUACUUUUAAAAAGUUUUUCACACACAAAGAUUGGAAUCGAAAUCGAUGUCGAAAAAGAGAACAAGAGGAAAAAGAGAAAAAUGGGAAAGAGAACAAGUAAUAGAGAAUAGUACGUGUAGAAAAAGACAACCAAAGCAAAGAAAGAAAAAGUGCUUCUAGUAGCAACGUACAGUUUGGAUUCAAACGUUUAAUACAUUUCUUUUCAUGCUUUUUUGUUUUAUUUUAUUUUACUUUCUUCUCUCUCUCUCUCUUUUUCUCUCUUUCUCUCUUUUAUUUUUCGUUGUUUACGUCAUCGUUCUCGUCGAAGCUCGAUAUCUCUUGCAACCAUUUUUAUUGUCAGUCACGAAAUUCUAAUUGAAAAACUGUAUCGUAUUUUGUUAGCCCAUUUUUUCUCUUUUCAAUUCUUUUCAAAUUUGUCAAACAACACAAAAUACGAGCACAAUGGUAACAUUGCGAGCCUCAUUGACGUAUCUUUUUAAUUCUCUCUUUUGACUUACUUUUACUUGUUUUUUUAAUAAAUUUUGUCCAAUUUUUACAGAAUACAUAUCCGUUAUUUAUUAAAGUUAUAUUUUAUACAAUUGCAAA